UACAUAUCCAGACGAGCAUCAUCGCAACCAUCGUCAACACGAGCCGACAAACUGACUUUUCCUUCGCUAGUAUUUAAAACAAACGUAGUAUUUUGCAGUACGCCGUAUAACUUGAGGGGUAAGUCUGUCUCCUCUGUCAGUGCGCUGCUUUGGGUAAUUUCAAAGCCAACAUUGUUUAAUAACGCAGGUGGAUGGACAUCGCGCUUUUGUUGUUAUGAUGGCGUUUGGUGCGUAAAAAGCUUUCAUGGCGCUCGCGAGUAUUUAUUUCAAGCAAGCUGUGUCAGAUCUGUACAAACCAACACAGAUCUACACUGCUACCCUUAUUGUAAUACUUACUAUGUGACAGCUAUCAUUAAUAGCUCUCUAGUAAAUUGAGUAGUACCUACUAGUUUUAAACAUCCGACUUUGCUCAUAACUACAGACCAAUUUCCAAAUUGCCUUUCAUUUCAAAGCACUUGGAGUGAGUUGUGUAGCCUAUUCCCAGCUAUAUUCUUAUUUAAAUUCUUUUAAUAUUUUAGACAUUUUCCAGUCCGGUUUCAGAACUUUACAUAGUACUGAAUCCACGCUGUUGAAGGUCACUAAUUAUAUUUUACUCUCACUAGACUCAUAUGCAGUUUUGGUUUUAUUGGAUCUGAGCGCUGCAUUUGACACUAUUGAUCAUAAUAUUCUGUUAAUUCUUUUGGAGAGUGUGGUCGGCAUUCAGGGUGUGGCCCUGCAGUGGUUGGCCUCUUGAGAGAUAAGUCAUUCCAACCCGAUCUCAUGAAAAGUCGUACAUAAUUUACGAGUUGGCUAUUUCGUAUGGUCUCGCACGAUGUUGGUCGCAUAAACUCGCACGACUUCAUCACGUGCAAAUUUCCAGAUGUUUAAUGCAGAAGUAAGCGCAAGUUCCGCACACGAGCCUUUAAAGACAUACUUAUUAAUAUUAUGCCCUUACCCAAACCCCCUACCUAAACUUAACCAAUCAGUAGAGUGUAUAAACAUGAUAGGAAGCUGUUGUGUGUGACAUAAGUAAGUAAUUGUCGCGUAUUAGAUGGAAACGAUGUCCAGCGAUGUCAUUGGCUGUAGUGAAAGUCGUAGGAAUUCAAACGAGUGCAGUCGCACAUCAUACAAAUAAUUUAGAAAAGUUGUAGUUGUUUAGAAUCCAGACGAUUUCGCCGUGAGAGUGUGUUGAUCCUUCUCUGUCACCAUAGGGAAUUUUUCCUCAAUAUCGGCCCACUUAUCUUGUGCCCCAGGGGACCAUUUUGGGCGCUUUACUUUUCUCCCUCUAUAUGCUGCCCCUGGGCUCUGUUUUUAAAAUGUGUAAUUUCUCUUAUCAUUGCUACGCUGACGAUUCCCAAUUUUAUUUACCGUUCAGACCAGACAGUAGCUGCCUUUUUGAAAAGCUCUUCAAAUGUCUUGAGUACAUCAAAUGUUGCAUGGCAAAAAUUUUUUGCAACAAGUUAUUAUUUUAGGCUCUUCCAGGGCUCCUCCUGCCCUCGAAGCACAGUGAGGUUCUCUUUCCUCCAUUCAAAAGCAUAUAAUAACUUGGGGUUAUUUUUGAUUCAUCUUUCAUUUUUGACAAACAAAUCAGUGCCGUUGUUAAAGAGCCCAUAUUAUGCUAAUUUACAGGUUCAUAAUUUUAUUUUGGGGGACUACAAGAAUAGGUUUACAUGCUUUAAUGUAAAAAAAAAAAAAAAAACACAUUAUUUUUCUCAAACUGUACAUUUCUUUUCCCUGCUCUUCAUAUUCUGGCCGAAACGCUCUGAUUUACCUCCUGUCUCUUUAAAGCCCCCCUUUCCGAAAAGCCCAGUCUGCUUUGGUUGGUCAGCUGGCCUAGUCUGUUGUGAUUGGUCAACCGCGUAGAGCCCAUGUUGGAAAUGUAACGCCCCCUACCAUAACCGAGUUUCAGCUUCUGAGUCUUCCUGAGCAGCUUUAUACACUACUGUAACUAUGGUAACAGUGGCGUCAGUUUUUGCCAUACCAGUUCGAGCCAGAGUCCGAUAAUGAAUGAAAUAAUGAAAGUUUGGAAGAACAAGCUGAUCGACCUGAACCACCUUCGCAAACACGACUUGAGCAGGACGUUUCACAGUGGUAAGUUUUAAUUUAGUAGCUUUCUUACAAGUACACUGUUGAUUAUUGUGAACCUAACAAAGCUUAAAGUAAAAGACACAUAGUGCAUCUAAGUCGUCUUUUACUGGACUGGGUGUAGCCGAACUUUUUCCAUCCGAGAUAUGAACAGAGAACAGAGGCUUACUCCCGGUUAGUGAGCAAGUUAGCCAUGGACUACCGUGGAUAGCAGCCAUAACAUUACAGCUUGUAGUUAUAAUUACAUAAGACUCUUGAGAUCAACCAUUUUGUUACACAGUUUUAGGUAAAAGCUGGCCCACAGCUGAACAGUAAACCCUUACCAAAACAAUAACAUUACAUAGCAAGUUAGCCGAGCACUACCGUGAAUUGCAGAGGUAAAAACGACCGUUUGUAAAAAUAAAUCCAUCUCCACACUUGAUCACUAUUCAUUAUAGUAAGAAUGACAAACAAUCUGCAUAAUUCUACACAAUUGUAGGUAAAAGUGGGCCCACAGCUGAUUAGCAAAACUAUUUCAGCACAAUAACAUUAGCUAGCAGGUUAGCAGAGGUCUACAGCUGUGCACUGGGUGUACACCGUAGCUACAACACAAACUCUGCAUUUGAACUUUUGGUAGCAGAUAAAUCCACAAAUAAUCAAGCAUGCUCACAGGUUGUGAUCCUGAAGCACCAGAUUUUCCCAACAAAGUGGGAACUGCACCAUCUUUCAGGAGUAACUGUCUUGAAAAUCCAGCAUUGGUUGUGGUUGUACUGCUGAGGAAUAGUGGUAAAAAUACAUUUUAACCACUGAUUCUUCCAUUCGUCUGCAUUUGGAAGUCCAAACAACAAGGUUUUGCUUUUGCAGUGAAGAAAACAGCGUCUUCUCGACAUAGUGACAACACUAACCCAACUCAUCCUGGACUCUGCUAUAACUGCACUGUAAAAAAAAAUAAUCCUAAUUUUACAGAAAUUAAUAUUUUUUUAAAUAUUUUUUACAGUAGUUUUCCAUUUUUUGAAUUUGUAUUCAAAACUCUGUAAAAUGACAGUAAUUAUCUGUAAUUAAAUAUGUAGCUCAUUAUACAAAGGUUUAUGUCCAUACUAACAAUUUAAAAUUUUUCUUUGUAAUUUUAAGGUAAAUCUUAUUAGUUUUAUAUUUAUGUGUACUUUUACAUUCAAACCCUGUAAUUCUGGAUACAAAUUUAGCAACAUUUUUUCAUACAUCAAACAUAAUCCAUUGCCUUUUAGAAAGAGUACAAAGCUGCACUGCUCUCGAGGUUGAAACUUUCAGUCAUAUUACACCUCUGGCCACACCAAAUCAGUGAUGUCACAGUGAGUAAAAGCACAUACAUGCCAAUGAAUCUGACAAAAGUAAAAUGAGUAAAGGCAAAGUCAGGCAGGAAGGAGCAGAAGCAAAACUAAUAUGCUUUAAGUCCUUUAGAGCAGCAACAUGUUUGAAAGUUUUAACCCCAAGAGAGCAGCAUAAACUUUUUCCCAUCUGUGAUUUAGUGUACUUUCUAUUGAAUGCAUUCACAAUAGCCACAAUGUCCAAAAUGUCCUCACUAAUAUAUUGAAACCUGUAGAAAACCAACUAGUGAGACAUUUUAGGUGGUCCUCGCUAGUUAAAAAAGGCUCAUAAAUCGGCCAAAUCAUGUUUAGCUUUAAGUCUACUAGUAUGCACAGGUUUCUGUGAGGGUUAGGGGAUAUAAAAUAUCUUCAGCCUUCUAUGAAAUCAAUGGAAAUCUAUGAGAUGUCCUCACUAUUAUAGUGAAACAAGUGUGUGUGUGCGUGUGCGCGUGUGUGCGUAAGCAUAUAUGUAUUAAUAACUUUACCAUACAUUAUUACAUUUUUAUUCAUACACGUCAAAGAAAACACCAUUUGAGAAAUCAAUUAAAUACAACAGCCUACAAAUAAAUGUAAUUACACACAAUUAUUUUCUUUCUUUUAAAACAAGUUGUCUUUCCCUAUAGUUGAUAUGUUACCACGCUGAAACAAUUGCUAUUGGCUGUCUCGUCGUGUUGCUUUGAGAAUGAUUGGUUAAUCUGUCUGUUCGCGCCUCUCACCGGUCUUGUUUGAAAAUGGGUGUGCUGAUCGGCACUGCUACUCGCCACAGUCCACUAGUAAUGGCUGUUACCUGGAUUAUUUUACAUCUUCCUGCUAAAUUCUUAUUUUGAGCGAAUUUGAGUUGUUGGAUGUCAACCGAGAACAAAAAAAUGGAAUAUGGUCACAGAGGAAGACAUAGACAGGAGCUGUUUGAUCAUGUAAGUUAAGUGAGCUUACAUCUUGCAAAAAUAUGGUGAUAUCAUGUAAGAAAACAUUUUCCCUGUUAUUUUCUGUAACAACCUAACGUAACGUUAUGUUUUGUUUUCAUACCCUUAAUUUAUGUAGCCCAGUCUAAAAAUGGGGAAAACAGACGAGAUGUGUGAAAGUUGUAAAACCUGCCAGAGUGUAAAACAACUAAGAGUUUCACCAGCAGGUUACGGACAUAUCGCAACCUGCAGAAGCAAAUGACCACAGCAGUGCAUCAGAUCAUGAGAAGGCUGAAGAACCAGGAGUGACAAGAUAUCACCAGAUGGUGGGAUACAGAAUUAAACCCAGGGACAGAUCAAGCAUUGGAACAAGGUUUAUGGGGGAGAACAGACACCCAGCAGAGAGACAGGUCCAUCACUAAUGCACCAAGGAUCCAGCUGAUUACUGGCAAUUUGAGGAGGAUUGUUCUUUAUCUGCUACGUUGCACUGUCACUUCUGGUACAGAUUCAUUUUUUUUUUUUCUUUUUUUUUAUGUUUUGAUUUACUUAUUAAUACACUGUAUAGUUAGGAUUCUGAAUUAAAAGAGAGUGUAAUGUUUGUCCACAUAUAUUAGAACUAUAUGGAGCCCCCAGGGGUCAGGAGAAUUUUGUGGAAAACAACAUAAAACUGAAUUGGAAAAUGCAAGCUAAAAAAACAACAGACCACAACCCCCUCAGCUCAACAGCACAAUUUGAUGCUUUCUCCACCUGUUUGAAAGGUGAAAUCAUGACCUCAUCAUGAUAGUAAUAGACAAGAUAGAAACAUAGAGAAAUCACAUUUUUAGUUUUUCAUUUCCUCCUGGGGGGCUCAGAAGAACGGUUUAUGAAUAAUUGGUUGAUAUUGUAAAUUUAUAUCUGAAUACAUUAAAAAAAGUGUUUUAGAAUCAGUAGUGGUGUGUACUUUAUUUGUAAUUAAGUUUCCAACCCCACUUUAAUUGUAGAUGUAUCAGUUUAUUUUGUAUUUCUUCAGUACGUUUUCAGUUGCGGAUAUUUCACAGUAAUCUUAAAGCUUAUAUUUUAUGAGAAUUUGAAGAAACCUUUCUACUGUUAAUCAGUACAGUAAAUUAAAUAUUACAUUUUGUAUUUCAUUUAAGGUUUGUACUGUAAUUCUAUAAAAACUGAAUCAUUAAAUAUUGUAUUUAGAUUGUACUUUUACAGGUUUUUACCAUUACAAAUUUAAACAUUAAAUCUAAACACAAACACUGCCAGUCAAGUUUGAGAUGAUUUUAAUCUGUUUUAUACAGUAUUUUUAGAGACUUUUUAUUUUGUCUUCCAAAAUAAAACUGGUAUUUUACCAUCUUUAGCAUGUUAACUCUUAAUUGAAGGUGUUUGAUCGUAAUAAUUCAGGAAAUUAAUGUAAAAUAAGUGUUUCUCUGUAGAACUUUUAGUGCCAUCACUUAAUUGAAGGUGUUUGAUCAUAAUAAUUCAGGAAAUACCAGUAAAAUAACAGUGUUUCUCUGCAAAACCUUUAAUGAACAUUUCUGUACAUUUGAUUGUUUUUGCACUUUAUUUGAAUAAGUAUAUUUUACUUUAAUUUUACGGUUUUUGUUUGGCAGCUGAUGCUGCCAGUCAUUUGACCGUUUUUUUACAUUUUUUUUCUUUUUUUUUUUUCUUACAGUGUACGUUUGUUUGAGGGCAGGUCAAUGUUGCCCCUAGGCAGGCAUUAUGCAAAUGUGUUACAUAGUGACAAAUACUUUACAGAAGAAAUGGCUGGACUACAAUCCAGCCGUUUCUUGUAGUUCUUGAGCAGUGUUGUCUGUGGGAGAGAAUUACUCCCUUUUGCGUGGACUUUGUGCUUUGUGACUUUGCAGAUCUUUAACAUGCACAAAGAGCUAUGUUACACACUUAAGGAAAGGUAAAAUCCCAAAAAGCAUAAUAGAGCCUCUUUAAGGGAGGUUUUUUCUAUCUAAGGUAUGCUAAGCUAAAACGGUUUCUCUCUCAAAAAGACCUAGAAACUGUUAUCCAUUCUUUUAUUACAUCAUGGCUGGAUUAAUUCACUAUGUAUCGGUCUGCCUCAAUCUGCUAUAUCUCGUCUGCAGAUCGUUCAGCUAGAUUUUUAACUGGGAUAAAAAAAAGAGGGAUCACAUUUCCACUGUAUUAGCUUCUCUACACUGGCUUCCCAUUAAGUUCAGAAUUGAUUUCAGGCCUUGCACCUAAACACAUUAGUGACCUUCUGCACUCUUACUCUCCUCCAAGAAUGCUCAGAUCAGGCAAUCAGAUUCUUUUAUCUGUCCCCCGUUCACGCUGCAAGUCAAAGGGCGAUCGGGCCUUUUUGGUUGAUGCUCAAACUUUCGAAUAGCCUGCCCUUUCAUGUAAGGUCUGCACCAUCUUUAGCUAUUUUAAAAUCUGCCCUUAAGUCUUUUUAUUCAGUGUCUUUUGAUACUAUUUAAUGCACUGUUUGCUGAUCACUUUUUGUUUUUUUAAUGUAAAGGUUGCAUUUUUACUAUAUAUUGUUUGGUUGUUUUUAUGUUUUAUUUGUAAAUCGUACAGCACUUUGGAUCAGCCUCUGUUGUUUUUAAAUGUGCUUUAUAAGUAAAUUUUGACUUGACAGUUGUACAGUGUAGAGAUAGAGUGGUCAGGACAGACUGCUGAACUGCAGAUCACACAAACAUACACAGUUAAAAAACUGUAAAAUUUACAGUAAAAUACUGGCAGCAGGGUUGCCAGCCAGUUACUGUAAUUUAGAAUACAGUUUAAUGCUGUGAUUUUUACAGUAUAUUACUUGAUUGUGUGAAUUUGCUAUUUUUGGAGGAAAUAC